GACGAACGCUGGCGGCGUGCCUAAUACAUGCAAGUUGAGCGCUGAAGGUUGGUACUUGUUCCAACUGGAUGAGCAGCGAACGGGUGAGUAACGCGUGGGGAAUCUGCCUUUGAGCGGGGGACAACAUUUGGAAACGAAUGCUAAUACCGCAUAAAAACUUUAAACACAAGUUUUAAGUUUGAAAGAUGCAAUUGCAUCACUCAAAGAUGAUCCCGCGUUGUAUUAGCUAGUUGGUGAGGUAAAGGCUCACCAAGGCGAUGAUACAUAGCCGACCUGAGAGGGUGAUCGGCCACAUUGGGACUGAGACACGGCCAAACUCCUACGGGAGGCAGCAGUAGGGAAUCUUCGGCAAUGGACGAAAGUCUGACCGAGCAAAGCCGCGUGAGUGAAGAAGGUUUUCGGAUCGUAAAACUCUGUUGGUAGAGAAGAACGUUGGUGAGAGUGGAAAGCUCAUCAAGUGACGGUAACUACCCAGAAAGGGACGGCUAACUACGUG
rnacentral:rRNA from 1 species